CCUGAUUCCCAUCAGCCAUCUACAACGGCAUAUCAGCGGAGGCUCCACAACCUGUCAGCGCCAGAUCGUUGUUUAACCCACUGUGGAUCACUCUCCGACCGCCGAGUUGUCAUCACCAGCCGCCACCAGUCGCCAUUCCAGCCGGAUUAUUCUCUCUGCUCCUCCACCUCAAAUAAAACCUUUUUUCAACACUC